AGUUGAUCAUGGCUCAGAACGAACGCUGGUGGCGUGUCUAUACAUGCAAGUCGAGCGAGGCAGCAAUGCCGAGCGGCGAACGGGUGAGUAACGCGUAAGCAAUCUGCCCCAUAUCAGGAAAUACCCGUGCCAACGCGCGGUUAAUGUCCAGGAGAGUGGCCAGCUGCAUGGCUGGUUGACUAGAGAUUUAUCGGUAUGGGAUGAGCUUGCGUCCGAUUAGCUAGUUGGCGGGGCAACGGCCCACCAAGGCGACGAUCGGUAGCCGGCCUGAGAGGGUGAUCGGCCACAUUGGGACUGAGAUACGGCCCAGACUCCUACGGGAGGCAGCAGUAGGGAAUAUUGCACAAUGGGGAAACCCUGAUGCAGCAACGCCACGUGUGGGAAGAAGCAUUUCGGUGUGUAAACCACUGUCAUGAGGGAAUAAGGCCCGCCUUCGGACGGGAUUGAAUGUACCUUGAGAGGAAGCACCGGCAAACUUCGUGCCAGCAGCUGC
rnacentral:rRNA from 1 species